CCAGUGAGGAAUACCGGCGAGAAAUCGCCGACAAUACCGCAUAGGCUACGCGGGGUCACAGCCACGAGCAAAGCUCCGCAAGGGGCGCUGGAAGAGGGGCCCGUGGCCGAUUAGCUGGGUUGGUGGGGUAAGGGCCUACCAAGGCGACGAUCGGUUGCUGGUCUGAGAGGACGAUCAGCCACACUGGGAUUGAGAACGGCCCAG
rnacentral:rRNA from 1 species